UACGUAGGGUGCGAGCGUUGUCCGGAAUUACUGGGCGUAAAGAGCUCGUAGGUGGUUUGUCGCGUUGUCCGUGAAAUUCCCUGGCUUAACUGGGGGCGUGCGGGCGAUACGGGCAGACUAGAGUGCGGUAGGGGAGAUUGGAAUUCCUGGUGUAGCGGUGGAAUGCGCAGAGUAUCAGGAGGAACACCGAUGGCGAAGGCAGAUCUCUGGGCCGU
rnacentral:rRNA from 1 species